CUUCAUCAUUCAGUUAUCCAUUGUGCAUCUAUUAUUUCUUCGAACUCAACUCGCUUGUCUAACAAGCGUGUGUGUGUGUGCGCGCGCCCUGGUGUGUGUGUGUGUGUUUAGAAAACCUGGGUUCUCGAAUGGUGCUUCCGUGGCUGAGUAGGGUGGGUUUCUUUCGUUUUUCUCACGUUGGUGUUUUCUGGACAACUGUACUGAGCGCGUUGAUGGCAUCGGUGCUCUGCCUGUGCCCGUGGGCAGAGGACAUAGGCUGUGGGUGUGUCCCGCCCACAGGCGCGCCCUAUGCAACGUGAACACAAUGAGGACAAUGACCUUUAUUAUGAUCCAUUUCCGCUUAAUAAAUAUCACAGGCAGCACUGGAUCAGAGCAGGCCACCUCACAUGGGACCUGCUGCAGUACAACUUCCAGCAUGGAGGAGCAGAGCAAGAUGUUGGCUUGCUGUGGGAGACGAGAGACACCCAUGCCUCUGACCUCUAUAUCUGUUACAGGUAAGUUUCUCUACCUGAUGAGGUGAGAGGUGCUGUGGGGCAAAAAGGUACAAGUGGUUAGGGGAAAAUACUUUCUUAGGGAAACCAAAGGAAGUGGGUAAGACCAUUUCUAUCCGAUACUCCUGAACAUGAUGAUAUGAUGCAUGCAUAUAUGGGAUGAUUGAGAGUCACCGGUGAUGAGCAAUCUAUUCACUUCUGUCUGUGGUGAUUAUAAUAUUAAC
rnacentral:lncRNA from 13 species